AUUGAACGCUGGCGGCAUGCUUUACACAUGCAAGUCGAACGGCAGCGGGGAGGAGCUUGCUUCUCUGCCGGCGAGUGGCGAACGGGUGAGUAAUACAUCGGAACGUGUCGAGAAGAGGGGGAUAACCACCCGAAAGGGUGGCUAAUACCGCAUAAAUUCUGAGGAAGAAAGCUGGGGACCUAGGAAUAGGCCUAGCGCUUUUUGAGCGGCCGAUGUCGGAUUAGCUAGUUGGUGAGGUAAAGGCUCACCAAGGCGAAGAUCUGUAGCGGGUCUGAGAGGAUGAUCCGCCACACGGGGACUGAGACACGGCCCAGACUCCUACGGGAGGCAGCAGUGGGGAAUUUUGGACAAUGGGGGCAACCCUGAUCCAGCCAUGCCGCGUGUAUGAAGAAGGCCUUAGGGUUGUAAAGUACUUUUGUUAGGGAAGAAAAGUCAGCUGUGAAUAAUGGCUGAUACUGACGGUACCUAAAGAAUAAGCACCGGCUAACUACGUG
rnacentral:rRNA from 1 species